rnacentral:rRNA from 1 species
AACGAACGCUGGCGGCAGGCCUAACACAUGCAAGUCGAACGCCGUAGCAAUACGGAGUGGCAGACGGGUGAGUAACGCGUGGGAACCUACCUUACGGUCGGGAAUAGCUCAGGGAAACUUGGGGUAAUACCGGAUACGCCCUUACGGGGAAAGAUUUAUCGCCGUUAGAUGGGCCCGCGUAGGAUUAGCUAGUUGGUGAGGUAGUGGCUCACCAAGGCGACGAUCCUUAGCUGGUCUGAGAGGAUGAUCAGCCACACUGGGACUGAGACACGGCCCAGACUCCUACGGGAGGCAGCAGUGGGGAAUAUUGGACAAUGGGCGCAAGCCUGAUCCAGCCAUGCCGCGUGAGUGACGAAGGCCUUAGGGUUGUAAAGCUCUUUUGGCGGGGAAGAUAAUGACGGUACCCGCAGAAUAAGCUCCGGCUAACUUCGUGCCAGCAGCCGCCGUAACAC